UUCGCUGGCUUGCUAGUCUAAGUCAACUUUUAAGCAUGUUUACAUGUAAAUAAGGGUAUGACAGCAACUAAUAAUGAAUUGUAAAACUAUUUACGGAUAAGUGCUAUCGAUUUAACGUAAUGAUAGAACUUUAAUGAAGUUAUUUAUGAAGCAAUCAGCCUUCGAUGUUCGUACAUGGAACUUUCGUAACCAGCAGGUCAGAGAGAUGGCCUUUUUGAACCAGGCUGGUUCGUUUGAACCAGGCUAGUUCAAGUGACCCAUAUUAAGACAUGUAUACAUAGGCCUAAUGAACCAUAAAUCACGAGACACGCGUUUUUCUGGUUUUAGAAGAAGACUUACAAUCAUUGUGUUGAUAUUCGCAUCAUGGUAUGGAUAUUUUAUGAUUUAUUGGACUUUUACUCAUGCAGUGCAACUAAAUUUCAAUGAAUUUGACACUUACAACAACCUGCGAAUCGCUUUGCAAACAGGUACAUUAUUUUGUACAAUUAGGUCACCAUAAUCUUACAAAAUUCUUAAAGGCAGUGGCUAGUGAACCGUCACCGGUGCAGCAGACCCGAGGUCUAGUGCACCGUCAUUUUUAAUAUAUAUAAAACAUAGCCUUUCUGUAAAAUUUCUUUGAAAGAUAUUUUCACCAGUAAUAAGCAAGAACAUAAUUAAAAGAAUGAAGUAAGAUAAACCUUGACUUACUUGUUAAUUUAUGGCUUUACCUCAAGCGCUGAUCUUCGUUCUUCGGCAACGUUAGUAUCCGUCAUUUACUAAGAUAUUUCCGAAUGACAGAAUGAAUUUCUUUGAUUUUUUUUUUUUUAUUUUCAUGAAUACCAUAUAUUUUUGUCAAUUUAAGUCGAAUAUAUAAAAAUAAUUAUUGUCUAUAUUUGGAUAUAUAUGUAAGUAUACAUAUCAAAAUUGAAAUUCGAUCUUAAUUUCAGAUUUUUAUCUCAUGGGACCGUAAAUUCGGAAAUAUUGACAUCUUGCAAGCAAAUAUUUUAUAAUGUACAGGCACGGUGAAAACUGUUUAAAAUUUCAAUAUUUGUUAUAUUAUUGAUUACAAUAGCUACAUUUCACGAAAUCCAUGAUUAAAACUGUGAAAGACAAUAAAGAUUAAAUUAAGACAAUGAAUGGAGGUCUACAAAUGUAGGCGUUGUUGGAUUGCUUGUUAAAGUUAUUUAAUGAUUGGAUUGGGUGUGUUUAUCUUUUGUGGUGGCAGCUCUGAUCAUGAGACAGUGAAUCUGAAAUACUGUUGACGAAGAAUGAAGAUAGCGUGUUGAGGUAAAUUGGUAAAUUAUAAGGUAAAUCAAGGUUUAUCUUACUUCAUUCUUUUAAUAAUGGUCAUACAUAUUACUGGUGACAAGAUGUUAUAAUUAUACUUCAAAGAAAAGCUGCAGUGAUUUUUUUUGCCAUUUUGGGAAAAGGUCCGGUACCAGUUGAAUUGGGAAAAAUGACGGUGUUUUUAACCCAAAUUGGGAAUUUUAGCAGGGUUUUUAUUCAAAUUGGGAAUUUUUGCAAUAAGUCAAUAACAUCAUUUAGAACACUUCUUCCUUUAAUUCCAUGUAAACAUCAUCCAAUAAACAUAAUGAAUGGUUAAAUGAUUUAUAGUGAAAUGUCCCUUUUUUCAUAUUCUUGAAAAUGUCAACUGUUGGCUGUCCGAGUCCCUGUAAGAGGGGUCUGACCCUCUGUACAGAGUAACAUAAGUUUUGAAACUCGAUAGUCAUUGACUCUUCAGUCUAAAUUUUCAAGGGUCAAAAUCAUAUUUUCAAGAGACAAGAUCAACAUUUCAGGGGUCAACCUAUACUGAAUGCUUCAAAAUAAGAGAUGCUUUUGCAACAGUGUUCAUAUUUUUCUUACAUGCAGACUUUGUAUUGGCUUUUUAUUUAGAUUGUACUAGAAAAAUCUUGUAAGAAAUGAUGGAAAUGUCCGAAAAUUACGGUCGCGAAAACGGGUGACAAAUAUGUAAAACGAAAUUUAACAUUUUAAAUUCUUGAUAAAAUACCUGUUUCAAGUUGUUUUUUUUUCACCAUACCUAUUCAGUACUUAUAAUUUCUACUUAUUUACAGCAUAUAAUUUGUUUUGGACCAAACAAAGCCUCGGCAAUGAUAAUAAAAUUGCUAUAGACCGUAACGGUUGACCGGCUUAGGUAAUCGUAUAGAGGACACAAAAUAAUGAUUUUAAUUAUCCAAUUUGUAGUUAUUUUAAGUUGGCAAGACAUAUUACAAUACAACAUAAGCUGUAUACCGCUAAUUAAAAAGUGGUACAAACACGAUACUGUACAGUCAGGAGUGUAACUGUUUAAAGUUAUCGCAGUUUAUAACCCAUUUGAGUUAUUGCUUAUACUUUCAUAACUUGUUUCAGUUAUCAUAAAAUAUUAUAAAGCCCUCCUGUGCCAAUUCCGUAUUUUGAAUGUGACUAAUGCUAUUAUUACCUGAAUCCUUGACAUUUUAUCUUUCCAGCUCUGCAGUAAAAAAUUUUACGCAAGGCCGAUAAAGUUUUACGCAAGAGUUUUAAAGCUAUAAAACUCUUAACAUCCCAUUAUGCUUAUCAGGUCAUGAUCAGACUAAAAGAGAAUUUGAUUAAUCACAGUUUGCUACUAAUUUCACUAUAAAGGUCACUUUGUAAGAAGAGCAAAAAGACUUUUAUUGAAUAACUUACCCGAGUUAACAAUAUUUUAUAACUAAUACAGGUUAUAAAAUGCUUGAAAAAGUAACUGAAAUAGGUUACCUAACUUAAAACAGUUACACCCCUGACUGCUGUAAGGCUGCAUUGUUUAUCAAUUAACUUUUACACAUUUAUCAAUAGACACGGUUGAUAAUGACACGGCAUUGUGCUAAAUACAAACCGCGAGAUGAUCACGUGUCAGUCGGCGCGUGGCGUGGUAGCUAAUUAACAUACGACGCUCUGCCUCCUGCUAUACUUCCGCUCGUGCCGGCAAACGGUAUUGAAAUUCUCUGGGAUUUUGAUUGACAAGGGGCAGGACUUUCGAACUUAGACGCAUCAAAAAAAUUUCCGCGAGUCAAACCGACGCACGAGGCAUAUAAUCAGCGGGUCAAAUACGAGUUUUUCUCGGUUUUUCGUGGGUCAAAACCCGGGACCUCGGGUCUACUGAAUGCCCUGGUAAAUCGGGCCGUCUUUUUUACCGAAAUACCUUCGGGCGGGGUUUAUUCUUUUACGUCAGAAUGAAGGUUUUUCGUUCUCGGCCUCGAGCGUUUUGUAAAUUUAUACGAUACAAUCAGUUUGUCUGGGUCAUUUUGGGAAUUUUUGGAUGAGAAUUGGGAAAAAAAGAUACCUUUUUCAAUUGGGAAAAGGUCCGUUUACCGGACCUUUAUAAAGAACGAAAAAAAUCGCUGAAGCUAUAUUUUAUAUAUAACAAAAAUGACGGUGCACUAGACCUCAGGUCUGCUGCACCGAUGACGGUGCACUAGACCUCGGGUCUGCUGCACCGGUGACGGUUCACUAGCCACUGCCAUUCUUAAAAAAGCAUAAUGUAGCUGUUGGAAAAUCUUAAUUUCGGCCAUUUGUAAAAUCCAAGAGAUAAAGGAGGAAGAAAACACACUGACUUCCGCUGAUUUGAGAAGCAGCAGUAUAUUCGUAUCUCUCUGCAUCCGUAAUUUAAAUAUGGCAACAUUUAUCUCCCUUUAUACUAUUUUCAGUUUCGCCAGCAUCAAAUGGCUACUUUCAGUCACAUGAUCAUAAUACAGCUGGGAAAAUUGCAAAAUGGCGGCGAGCUGAUGAAGCACGGCAAAAUAAUGUAUAAAAGUUGAAAAAUACCGUAAAUUUGAUGCAAAUAACUCCUGCUUUUUUGACAAAUCUAAAUUUGUUCCAUUUGAUCUUUGUUCUGUGGCAAAAAUCUAGUCAAUGCAGCUUAUGUAACUUGUCUGAGCACGAAGUUCAUCCUCAGAAGUAAGCCUCUACGUCAAAACAAGAUUGCGAAUAUGUUUCUAAGCACAUAUUUUUACAAGUUUUUCAUCACAAUUUAAUAUUUAUGACAAAUAUGGUUCAUUAGGCCCAUGUGUACAUGUCUUGUUAUGGGUCAGUUGGACCAGCCUGGUUCAAAUGAACCAGCUGGUGCAAACAGGCCAUCUCUCUGACCUGACCAGUGUCAGGCAAGAUAAAAAAUUACUACAAGGAACAAUUUCAACAAAUUUCUGGAUACCACAAUAUGAUUGUAACAUGUGAAUUGAAGUCAGACACCUUACCACCAUGCAACAGUAUCAUCUUUCUUCCGUAACCGCCGAACCCCUUUCGGUGAUGUAGACGUUGUUCGUCCCUUUUUUAUGGUUUGGCAGAUUCCCUAGAGAGCUGCAAUGUGAGAAGUGACAGUAAUGCAGAAUACCUACAGACCUUGAACAUGUUGAAGAGAAAUGAAGAGAUACAGCUCUAAAUUGUUCCACAUGGUGUGUGUGGGAAACAUAGUGGACAGAAAGCAUGUGACAAUGUGAAGUAACAGUAACACAGAAUGGCUAGAGACCAUUAACUUAAAAACUGAAGAGAUGCAGGUCUUUGUCAUGUUUGUUCUAUAUGGUGAUUGGUGGAACCAUGGUGCAGUUUUGAAUUUAUAAGGUGUAAAGUUACAGAAAAGCAGAAUAGCUACAGACCAUGAAAUUUAGAAAUGAAGAGAUGCAUGUCUUUGUUCAGCAUGGUGUAUAUGGGAAACAUUGUGGGUCGCAGACAUGAAAUGAUUUAUGUGAAGUAACAGUUAAGCAGAAUGGCUACAGACAAUUAGUUCAGAAUUGAAGAAGAGAUGCAGAUCUUUGUUCUAUAUGAUGUAUGAGGGAACCAUGGUGGAAAUUUGGAUUUCAUGGCAGUCAUAGAAAUAUCUAAUAAGUCUGUAGGACAGUUAUAUGUGUACCAGUCUGUCAGACUAUUAUGUGUCUGUCCAGUUGAAAAAAUUGCAGUGGAUGCUUAGUUUCUCACAUAAUUUUGGCAGAAUUUUCACACAAGACAGAUUGCAAAAGACUUUAGUACCCAAAAACCUGAAAUGAGAGUGCUUUGACAAUAUAAAGUUUUUCGCAUAGACCGGGAUUGGCCGCCUCUGUAUAUAUAAGUCUACAACUUCUCAGAUUUGACCGAAGACAUUUGUUUGGUGUUGUGAAUGGGAAAAUAAUUCCAUUAUGUGGUUUGGCCGCAGGCUUUCCAAUCACAUAGGAAGAUACUGGUUCUAUCACAAGAAGGGUCACAUCAAUUGAUAUUAGUCACUGGAAAAAAUUUGAGAACCAGUUGUAGAUUCUCCGGUUGAAAUUUAUUAAGAGAAAUACAUUGAGGUAGGGCAGUUUUCCAAAAACGCAACAAGAAGUUCACAUUUGUUGCACAGAUUUGUGUCUCACAUGUAUGGAGUUGAAGGAAUAGUUUACAGGAAAAGGGUACAGAAUAUGUAAGGAUAUGACAGCUAAACAUCUUCUCCAAGAUUCCAUGCAGCAACCUUCUGAUAGAAAGAUGUACCUGUUGUGCAAAGGGGAUAAGCUGGCUUGGUGACAGCAAUAAAAUGAGCAGAUUUCAAAAGUUGGCCUUUGGCAGUCAAAAGUUAAAAUGACUUGGAACAGUCAAACUAACCAAAACAUUGCAGGUCAGGUAUAUACUCCGGUUACAGAUUGCAGUAUCAGCCAGAAACCACAGCCAUUCUAAAUAUAGGACGAACACAAUCAGACAACCUGGCAAGAAGAUUUUACGAUCAGGAGUGUUGACAUUCUGCUCAAGAUUCUAGUCUGGAGAUACCAUCGGCGAUCUUAGAGAUUUAAGUUUAAAAAUGUGAAAUUGACUUUUAAAAGACUACAUUAAUAUUUUAUACUGUUUUCAGUCAAAGGGUUUAAACUUCUUUUUUGGGGGGAGGGGGGAUAACUGUACUGCAUACAAUUUUGUAUGGCAAAAUAAAACAAAGAAAAAUAUUUUUAUGUUAAAAAUACCUUUUUAUAUAUGAAUACUUAUGAAUUGACUUUUUCAUGUCUCUAAGAUACGCAAGAUUGCAGUGAUUGCUUGUUAGCUCAUCAGAGCACGAAGUAUUCAAGGUGAGCAAUUGUGACCGGUCAUUGUCAG